UACAGAGGUGGCAAGCGUUGUUCGGAAUUACUGGGCGUAAAGGGCGCGUAGGCGGCCUUCUAAGUCGGAUGUGAAAGCCCCGGGCUCAACCCGGGAAGUGCACUCGAUACUGCCGAGCUAGAGUAUCGGAGAGGUUGGUGGAAUUCUCGGUGUAGAGGUGAAAUUCGUAGAUAUCGAGAGGAACACCGGUGGCGAAGGCGGCCAACUGGACGAAUACUGACGCUGAGACUCGAAAGCGUGGGGAGCAAACAGG
rnacentral:rRNA from 1 species